ACAUUGACCUGAAGAGGUUGAG
rnacentral:miRNA from 8 species